UGGGGAAUAUUGGGGCAAUGGGGCGCAAGCCUGACCCAGCAACGCCGCGUGAAGGAAGAAGGCUUUCGAGUUGUAAACUUCUUUUUUAGGGACGAAGCAAGUGACGGUACCUAAGGAAUAAGCCACGGCUAACUCCGUGCCAGCAGCCGCGGUAAUACGGAGGAUGCGAGCGUUAUCCGGAUUUAUUGGGUUUAAAGGGUGCGCAGGCGGCGCGCCAAGUCAGCGGUCAAAGUUCCGGGCUCAACCCGGUGUCGCCGUUGAAACUGGCGUGCUCGAGUGCGUGCGAGGAAGGCGGAAUGCGUUGUGUAGCGGUGAAAUGCAUAGAUAUGACGCAGAACUCCGAUUGCGAAGGCAGCUUUCCAGCGCGCUACUGACGCUGAGGCACGAAAGCGUGGGGAUCGAACAGGAUUAGAUACCCUGGUAGU
rnacentral:rRNA from 1 species